AUAGGCGGCAGGAGCUGGAGAAGCAGCAGCAUGUGGCCGCCAGCUAUGGGGUUCCAGGGACGGGGUCCAGAGUAGCAGGCGGGCUCACCCCCUCCCCUUUCCCCCCACUUGCUAUAGAGUGGGUGACCAGUAUUCAGACUGCAGUUUACCCCUUGAGGUGAGGGGCUAGACUGAUGUCUGUAGUAGGCCACAGCGGCAAGUGGAUGAACUAGAGACAGCUAGUUUCCUGGGAAGGGGGGAGAAAGCGGAGUGGGGCACAGCCGGAGGGCCGUGCCCAGAAGAGGAGGCUGCAGUCUGGGGAGCGACGUGGGUCUUUGAGGUGGAGCAGAAGUGACGGUGUGAGACACCACUAGAGGAAAGCGCAAUAGCAACCAAGAGCUAAUUCCCAGCAUGGCCAGCAGCAGGCACUGAAGUGGGAAGCAUGGAGAUAAUGCAUUUGGAUGAUCUUUGAGGGUAGACACGAGUAAGAACACAUUUAAUCAAUCCAACCUGGAGAUGCUACAGACCUGGAUAACUGUGGCAAUGUCUGCAACAGAGAAGACCCUUAAAGCACAGAUUGGAGAGCUUUGGAUACAGAAAGGACUAAGACUCCAUGAAAGAAACAGGAGUCAAAGGAACAAUGAAGUCUUAACUGAUGUUGUUUGAAAUUCCCAGG